GAUGAACGCUGGCGGCGUGCUUAACACAUGCAAGUUCGAACGGAGUGCUCAUGACGGAGGAUUCGUCCAACGGAUUGAGUUACUUAGUGGCGGACGGGUGAGUAACGCGUGAGGAACCUGCCUCGGAGUGGGGAAUAACAGACCGAAAGGCCUGCUAAUACCGCAUGAUACAGUUGGGUCGCAUGACUCUGACUGUCAAAGAUUUAUCGCUUUGAGAUGGCCUCGCGUCCGAUUAGCUGGUUGGUGAGGUAACGGCCCACCAAGGCAACGAUCGGUAGCCGGACUGAGAGGUUGAACGGCCACAUUGGGACUGAGACACGGCCCAG
rnacentral:rRNA from 1 species